CGAGACCAUCCUGGCUAACACAGUGAAACCCCGUCUCUACUGAAAAUACAAAAAAUUAGCCAGGCAUGGUGGCGGGCGCCUGUAGUCCCAGCUACUCGGGAGGCUGAGGCAGGAGAAUGGCAUGAACCCGGGAGGCGGAGCUUGCAAUGAGCCGAGAUCGCGCCACUGCCCUCCAGCCUGGGCGACAGAGCAAGUCUCUAAAAUGGACAGGAGGCAUCCCUGUGAUAUUAGGGGUAAUAUCACGGCACAUCAGAAACUAUCCACCAAUUAGUACCCGGAGAAUCUAGUCCUGCAGGGCAAGAGGAUGACAGCAGACGACACCUGGGGUCCAGCUGAGGAGAAAGCCAGGACCCGCCCCCUCGAGACCCUGCCCUUCAAAACACCACUUCCAGACCUUGCCCUCAAGAUGACGAUCACCCUCUGGCCCGGCCUCCAGGCAGCCUCCUCAUUCUUGCCCCGCCCAGAUUCUGUUCAAGGCCCUGCCCCUUCUAAUCAGGUCCCACCCCAACGGCCACCUACACACUCUCAUAGCCAGGUGUGGCUGUGAUCUAUCAGCCUUGGGCUCCCAAAGUGCUGGGAUUACAGGCAUGAGCCACCCCACCUGGCCCAAUCUUCUUAACAUAAACACUUUAAUGUAAAUUAAUUCUUAAACUCAAGGUUAAGUCAACUCAAUCUCAAGUCAAUGCCUAUUUGGCUCUAAUGUCAAUUAAAGCUUUAUGAUCUUCUAUAGUCACUGUAUUUGGAACAGUUAUCUCAAAAAUGAAUUUUCUGAUGUUCUGCAUGGAGUGCCCACAGACUGAAGACCUUGCCACACUUAAGACAUUUGUAAGAUUUCUGUCCAGUAUGGAUUCUCUGAUGUCUAAUGAGGUGUGAAUGUGAAGUAAAGGCUUUGC
rnacentral:lncRNA from 10 species